AGCAGCCGCGGUAAUUCCAGCUCCAAUAGCGUAUAUUAAAGUUGUUGCAGUUAAAAAGCUCGUAGUUGAAUUUCGGGAUCAACACGUCGGUCGUGCUUCGGUACGUACUGGCGUCAUUGAUUUCUCCCUUCUGACGAACCAUGAUGUCAUUAACUUGGUGUCAUGGGAAAUCAGGACUGUUACUUUGAAAAAUUAGAGUGUUUAAAGCAGGCUCACGCUUGAAUACAUUAGCAUGGAAUAAUGAAAUAGGACGUUCGAUCCUAUUUUGUUGGUUUUUAGGAUCAACGUAAUGAUUAAUAGGGAUAGUUGGGGGCAUUAGUAUUCAAUUGUCAGAGGUGAAAUUCUUGGAUUUAUUGAAGACUAACUACUGCGAAAGCAUUUGCCAAGGAUGUUUCCAUUAAUCAAGAACGAAAGUUAGGGGAUCGAAGACGAUCAGAUACCGUCGUAGUCUUAACCAUAAACUAUAGCCGACUAGGGGAUCGGAUGAUGUUAAUUUUAAUGACUCAUUC
rnacentral:rRNA from 1 species